rnacentral:rRNA from 1 species
UACGAAGGGGGCUAGCGUUGUUCGGAAUUACUGGGCGUAAAGCGCACGUAGGCGGGUUGUUAAGUCAGGGGUGAAAUCCCGGAGCUCAACUCCGGAACUGCCUUUGAUACUGGCAAUCUAGGGACUGGAAGAGGUUAGUGGAAUUCCCAGUGUAGAGGUGAAAUUCGUAGAUAUUGGGAAGAACACCAGUGGCGAAGGCGGCUAACUGGUCCAGUACUGACGCUGAGGUGCGAAAGCGUGGGGAGCAAACAGG